AACGGCCAUGCCAUGCUGAAUAUGCCGGUUCUCGUUAGAUCACCGAAGUCAAGCAUCAUUGGGCGCGGUCAGUACUUGGGUGGGUGACCACCUGGGAAAACAC
rnacentral:rRNA from 1 species